GCGCUCAUAGCUCAGUUGGUAGAGCGCGGCACUAGUAUCCCGGGAUGCCGAGGUCUACGGUUCAACUCCGUAUGGGCGCA